GUAGGUGGCAAGCGUUGUCCGGAAUUAUUGGGCGUAAAGCGCGCGCAGGCGGUUCUUUAAGUCUGAUGUGAAAGCCCACGGCUCAACCGUGGAGGGUCAUUGGAAACUGGAGAACUUGAGUACAGAAGAGGAAAGCGGAAUUCCACGUGUAGCGGUGAAAUGCGUAGAGAUGUGGAGGAACACCAGUGGCGAAGGCGGCUUUCUGGUCUGUAACUGACGCUGAGGCGCGAAAGCGUGGGGAGCAAACAGGGAUUAGACACCCUGGUAGUCCACGCCGUAAACGAUGAGUGCUAAGUGUUAGGGGGUUUCCGCCCCCUUAGUGCUGCAGCUAACGCAUUAAGCACUCCGCCUGGGGAGUACGGCCGCAAGGCUG
rnacentral:rRNA from 1 species